GGAGAAGUCGCCUAGCCCGGCUUAUGGCGCACGACUGGAACUCGUGUAAAGUGAAAGCUUUCGAGGGUUCGAAUCCCUCCUUCUCCGCCA
rnacentral:tRNA from 1 species